rnacentral:rRNA from 1 species
UACGUAGGUGGCGAGCGUUGUCCGGAUUUACUGGGCGUAAAGCGUGCGCAGGCGGUUCUCCAAGUCCGUUGUGAAAGCCCCGGGCUCAACCUGGGAAUGGCAGUGGAAACUAGGGGACUGGAAUCUGGCAGAGGGGGGUGGAAUGCCGCGUGUAGCAGUGAAAUGCGUAGAGAUGCGGCGGAACACCGAUGGCGAAGGCAGCCCCCUGGGCUGAGAUUGAUGCUCAGGCACGAAAGCGUGGGGAGCAAACAGG